CGCUCGUUUGCUUCCUGCGAAGGAAGAGCUCCUCUCCUCUCCUCUCUGUGUUCAUCUACUCUCAUACGUUGGUUGUGAUCUCCCCGGCCCCCAACUCCUCAGAACCAUCCAAGACCCUCUGGGGGGGAGGAAUCCUCUUCCGCUACUAGAGUUUCUUCGCCGAGGAGGAGGAGGGGUUCCGAAGGAGGAAGGUGGCGCCGUGGGAGGGGGCGUGGACCGCUGUGUCGCCACCGGGAUCUAGGAGUUCGCGGAUGAGGAAGAUUUCAUCAAGGCGGGCGGGAGCGAGCGGCUCUUCGUCCAAAUGCAGGAAGGAAAGCCCAUGGAGAAGCAGGGCCAAAUCGCCGAAAAGGUUAUAUGGAGGAGGCAUGGAGCUGUAAGAUGCUAAAUAACCACUUGUUGGCCUUGGAGAUUGUAAUUCAGGAGCUGGUGAUUACAGUGGUGGUGACAGGUUCGACUUUGUUCAAGUAAAUAGCAGCAUGGAACCAGAGUGUUGGAUUUGAAUCUAGGCAAUGUGGAGGCUUCAUGUCUCUGCUGAUCAAAGGGCAAGGUUGUUAAUGUCAACUGAGAGACUCAACAAGUCUAGUGACAGGAUAAAGGAGAGCAUAAGGUCAACACUGGAGUCAGAAGAAGUUGGUGUUUCAGUUCUUCAAGGCUUGGAUCAACAAGGGCAACCUCUCUUACAUGCCCAUUUAACUGUAUGUUUCUGUGUUAAUCUUCUUGUUCUUAUGACAGCUUCAUGUACUUUUUUUCAUGGGUUAAUCUUUCAUUUUCAGUGCCA